GACGAACGCUGGCGGCGUGCUUAACACAUGCAAGUCGAACGGAAAGGCCCUGCUUUUGUGGGGUGCUCGAGUGGCGAACGGGUGAGUAACACGUGAGUAACCUGCCCUUGACUUUGGGAUAACUUCAGGAAACUGGGGCUAAUACCGGAUAGGAGCUCCUGCUGCAUGGUGGGGGUUGGAAAGUUUCGGCGGUUGGGGAUGGACUCGCGGCUUAUCAGCUUGUUGGUGGGGUAGUGGCUUACCAAGGCUUUGACGGGUAGCCGGCCUGAGAGGGUGACCGGCCACAUUGGGACUGAGAUACGGCCCAGACUCCUACGGGAGGCAGCAGUGGGGAAUAUUGCACAAUGGGCGGAAGCCUGAUGCAGCAACGCCGCGUGCGGGAUGACGGCCUUCGGGUUGUAAACCGCUUUCGCCUGUAACGAAGAGUGAGUGACGGUAAUGGGUAAAGAAGCACCGGCUAACUACGUG
rnacentral:rRNA from 1 species